AGUCCACAUCGACGGGGAGGUUUGGCACCUCGAUGUCGGCUCAUCACAUCCUGGGGCUGUAGUAGGUCCCAAGGGUUGGGCUGUUCGCCCAUUAAAGUGGUACGCGAGCUGGGUUCAGAACGUCGUGAGACAGUUCGGUCCCUAUCCGUCGCAGGCGUAGGAAAUUUGAGAAGACCUGUCCUUAGUACGAGAGGACCGGGAUGGACGUACCUCUGGUGUACCAGUUGUCCUGCCAAGGGCAUGGCUGGGUAGCUAUGUACGGAAUGGAUAAGCGCUGAAAGCAUCUAAGCGCGAAGUCAACUUCAAGAUAAGAUUUCCCACCGCAAGGGUAAGACCCCAGAAAGACUAUCUGGUUGAUAGGUCGAAGGUGUAAGUGCAGCAAUGUAUUUAGCUUAUCGAUACUAAUAGGUCGAGGACUUGACCAAU
rnacentral:rRNA from 1 species